UACGGGAGGCAGCAGUGGGGAAUAUUGGACAAUGGGGGCAACCCUGAUCCAGCGACGCCGCGUGAGCGAAGAAGUAUUUCGGUAUGUAAAGCUCUAUCAGCAGGGAAGAUAAUGACGGUACCUGACUAAGAAGCACCGGCUAAAUACGUGCCAGCAGCCGCGGUAAU
rnacentral:rRNA from 1 species